rnacentral:lncRNA from 1 species
CCACACGGAGACACGCAUGCUUCUGGUCCCUCCAAGAGAAGUGCUCUCAGGCAGCACAGAAACAAGAGCCAGCAGAUUAACCAUGUCUGGAAUGGAAAUCCAGGGUAUUAUUGCUGCAAAACAGCCCAGCCCGAUCCUGCAAGUUUUUCUUCUUUUCUGUUUUUUAAUGGUGCUGGGGACUAAGCGCAGGACUUCCCUUGUGCUAGGCAAGUCAUCUACCAUGGGCCACACCCCCAGCCGCCUGCAAGAUUUUUAAGAGUGUAGAGUGUUAAAGGUGCAGCCAGAUCCCCCCAAACUAGGAGUGACUUGGUUGUUUGGAAAGCAAGGGCACAAAGCAUAUGACAGGACAGGACAGGACAGGCUGCUGGAGCACCAGGCCACUUGCACACCUACUGGACAGUGGGCACGGGCUGAAGGCAAGAGGAAAACUGAUCAGGUGGUUAUUUAUAACCACUGCAUAUUAACCAGCACUAACAAACCGAGCCAGAGGCUAAUAUUGAACAGUGACCUUAUUGUGGUGGUUGGCCACACAACAAAAACCACAUUUAAAAGGCAUCCAGACCAAAAGUGAAGUCUGAAAGGAAGAAAAUCUAGGCAAUGAAAAAAAAAAUGAAGGAAGGAUUUAUGCAUUCCCUGAAGACUGGCACACGAAGGGGUGAUGUGAUUCACCAGUGAGGUUCACUAGAGUAAAGGGCAGGGCACAUGAUCUGCUCAGAGUUGUCAUCCCUUGGCCCUCGGUUUUCACAGGAACCAUCUGGAUGGGAGCUUAUGUUAAAAGAUUUAUGUGGGGGUGGGGCUAGGGCAGAACCCAAAGCCUCAGGCUUGCUAAGCAAGCACUCCACCACUGAGCUAUACUCCCAGCCUGGGAGUUUAUGUUCAAUCAAUCUACAAUCCUUUGUAUAUUUAAUAGAAACAUAACUUUAAAUUUAGAAAUACAAUCUAAGAGGCCUUCAAUAGCAGAUUGUUUAGAAAAUUAUAGCAUACCCACAA